rnacentral:rRNA from 1 species
GUCGAACGAUGAUGCCCAGCUUGCUGGGUGGAUUAGUGGCGAACGGGUGAGUAACACGUGAGUAACCUGCCCCUGACUCUGGGAUAAGCGUUGGAAACGACGUCUAAUACUGGAUAUGACUGCCGGCCGCAUGGUCUGGUGGUGGAAAGAUUUUUUGGUUGGGGAUGGACUCGCGGCCUAUCAGCUUGUUGGUGAGGUAAUGGCUCACCAAGGCGACGACGGGUAGCCGGCCUGAGAGGGUGACCGGCCACACUGGGACUGAGACACGGCCCAGACUCCUACGGGAGGCAGCAGUGGGGAAUAUUGCACAAUGGGCGAAAGCCUGAUGCAGCAACGCCGCGUGAGGGAUGACGGCCUUCGGGUUGUAAACCUCUUUUAGUAGGGAAGAAGCGAAAGUGACGGUACCUGCAGAAAAAGCACCGGCUAACUACGUGCCAGCAGCCGCGGUAAUACGUAGGGUGCAAGCGUUGUCCGGAAUUAUUGGGCGUAAAGAGCUCGUAGGCGGUUUGUCGCGUCUGCUGUGAAAUCCCGAGGCUCAACCUCGGGCUUGCAGUGGGUACGGGCAGACUAGAGUGCGGUAGGGGAGAUUGGAAUUCCUGGUGUAGCGGUGGAAUGCGCAGAUAUCAGGAGGAACACCGAUGGCGAAGGCAGAUCUCUGGGCCGUAACUGACGCUGAGGAGCGAAAGCGUGGGGAGCGAACAGGAUUAGAUACCCUGGUAGUCCACGCCGUAAACGUUGGGCGCUAGAUGUAGGGACCUUUCCACGGUUUCUGUGUCGUAGCUAACGCAUUAAGCGCCCCGCCUGGGGAGUACGGCCGCAAGGCUAAAACUCAAAGGAAUUGACGGGGGCCCGCACAAGCGGCGGAGCAUGCGGAUUAAUUCGAUGCAACGCGAAGAACCUUACCAAGGCUUGACAUACACCGGAAACGGCCAGAGAUGGUCGCCCCCUUGUGGUCGGUGUACAGGUGGUGCAUGGUUGUCGUCAGCUCGUGUCGUGAGAUGUUGGGUUAAGUCCCGCAACGAGCGCAACCCUCGUUCUAUGUUGCCAGCGCGUUAUGGCGGGGACUCAUAGGAGACUGCCGGGGUCAACUCGGAGGAAGGUGGGGAUGACGUCAAAUCAUCAUGCCCCUUAUGUCUUGGGCUUCACGCAUGCUACAAUGGCCGGUACAAAGGGCUGCGAUACCGUAAGGUGGAGCGAAUCCCAAAAAGCCGGUCUCAGUUCGGAUUGAGGUCUGCAACUCGACCUCAUGAAGUCGGAGUCGCUAGUAAUCGCAGAUCAGCAACGCUGCGGUGAAUACGUUCCCGGGCCUUGUACACACCGCCCGUCAAGUCAUGAAAGUCGGUAACACCCGAAGCCGGU